AUUGAACGCUGGCGGAAUGCUUUACACAUGCAAGUCGAACGGCAGCACGGGCCUCGGCCUGGUGGCGAGUGGCGAACGGGUGAGUAAUACAUCGGAACGUACCCAGUAGUGGGGGAUAGCCCGGCGAAAGCCGGAUUAAUACCGCAUAUGCCCUGAGGGGGAAAGCGGGGGACCGAAAGGCCUCGCGCUAUUGGAGCGGCCGAUGGCUGAUUAGCUAGUUGGUGGGGUAAAGGCCUACCAAGGCGACGAUCAGUAGCUGGUCUGAGAGGACGACCAGCCACACUGGGGCUGAGACACGGCCCAGACUCCUACGGGAGGCAGCAGUGGGGAAUUUUGGACAAUGGGCGAAAGCCUGAUCCAGCAAUGCCGCGUGUGCGAAGAAGGCCUUCGGGUUGUAAAGCACUUUUGUUUGGAAAGAAAAGGUUUGGGUUAAUACCCUGGACUGGUGACGGUACCAAUCGAAUAAGCACCGGCUAACUACGUGCCAGCCGCCGCCGUAA
rnacentral:rRNA from 1 species